GCUUUUGUUCGCUUUUUAGCCAAUCCUUUGGAUAAAUAAAAGUGCGGUGGCGACUCGAUUUCUUUGUAUGCUUUGCUUAUGGUUUAAUCAAUAAAUCAUAUAGCGACGAAUACACCGCUACAACUGCAAAUGAACAAUGUUCUUGUUUUUGAAAAUUAAAUAUUUUCUAUAAUAUUUUUCUUAUUUUAGAGUUAUUUUCUGUAAUAUUUUUCUUACCAUUUAUUUGAUUUUUUUUAUUAAAUAUUUUUUAUGAAUUGAUUCAAUAUGAUUAAAG
rnacentral:lncRNA from 1 species